GACGGAGGGUGCAAGCGUUGUUCGGAUUGACUGGGCGUAAAGGGCGUGUAGGCGGUUGCCCAAGUCCGAUGUGAAAGCCCGAGGCUUAGCCUCGGAAGUGCAUCGGAAACUAGGCAGCUGGAGCGCGAUAGAGGAGGGUAGAAUUCCUGGUGUAGCGGUGAAAUGCGUAGAUAUCAGGAGGAACACCUGUGGUGUAGACAGCUUACUGGACCACUUCUGACGCUGAGACACGAAAGCGUGGGUAGCAAACAGG
rnacentral:rRNA from 1 species